ACUUGCCUCUGCCUCCCAGAGUGCUGGGAUUACAGGCAUGAGCCAUCACACCGGGCCAUGAAAAAUAUUUUUUCAAGAAAUACUCCUUUUCACAGUUCUGUAGCAAGAGUUUUCACCUGAGUUAAGUGUGAGAACGACAAGGACAGUCGUUUAGUUUGGUGUGAUCCCUCCAAGGAAAGUCCCUGACACCCCUGUAGGCUCACUUCUGAGCUUGGGGCUUUCUCUAGAACCUCCCAUGCCUCAGUUUCCAUCAGUCUCUUCCCAACUUUUUUUCAUACAACCCUAAGCUGAACUUCAGUGAAACCCAGAGAAGACCAAGGGAAGUAAUACUUUGAAAAUCUUUAUGAAAUUCAUAUGUAAUGAUUACGGACUCCAGCUCAAGUUCAUCCAUCCAGAAACUUCAGUGAAGCUGCUUCUCACCAUCUUGGACUGUAUGUUUUCCAUCUUUUAAAUGUGUAUAGCAGUUACUUAGUAGACCAGUGGCUGGCUGUACAGUUGUCUGUCGUGUUUACUGCGUUAGGUGACCUUUGUUCCCUGUGACUUGCCUUCCUAGCUAGAUUCAGUCCUCAAAGGCGUCUAUUGAGCUUGAUUCUUCUUUGAUCUUGCCAUAUAUAUUAGGACCUAGAGUCAAAAAGUGUUCGGCUGGUGGGAUUUUAAGGUACUGAAAAGGAGAGCUUCAAAUCAGGUUGCUGAGUUUUCUGAUACUGUAAAUUAGCAACAAUAAUAAAAAAAAAUCUUGUUUAUUAAGAGGCUUAUUUCUUUGUCACUUUUUUGAUUCAGCAAUGGAAUUGUAAUGUAGAAUUUUCAUUUAAUGUAAUUUGUUUUAAAUAAAUAACACUACACUAAAGCAGAAGAUUAUGGUACUUCAGUCUUCUAAUGUCUUGUGAAAUUUUUUAAAAGUAGAUAUUUUGGUUUUUUUUCUUAGUUUUCUUUUACAUAUUUAGUGGAAAAAAGUAGUCUCAUCAGAUCUUGGUUCAAAGGUCAGUGGUAAAAAGUAUAGUCUCAUACGAUCUUAUUUUAAUUAAAGCAUUUCAAAACAGGAUUUCCAUUUAAAUACGGUUAUGCAUCGCUUAAUGAGGGGGGUGCAUUCUGAGAGCCGUGUUGUUAAGCCAUGUCGUUUUGUGACAACAAAUUUUCCUACCACAGCCUCUCAAGUAACUGGGAUUACAGGCAUGUACUUAACACAAAGCUAGGUGGUACACCCUGUUACACACGUAGCCCAUAUGGAAUAGCCUGUCACUCCAGGCUACACACCUGUACAGCGUGUCAUUGUGCUGAACCCUGUAGGCACCUAUAAUACAGCAAGAAUUUGUGUAUCUAAACACAGAAAAGAUACCAUAAAAUACGGUACCAUCAUCAUAUGUGCAGUCUGUUGUUAAAUGUUAUGUGGCAGUGACUAUAUAAAGUUUCCCUGUGAUCUU